GCAUGUUAGCACUCCGACACCUAAGUCAACAAAGUCACAAUAAUCUCAAGGUAAGAAUGAAUAGAUUCAGAGUAUUUUACCUGGCUGAUUACUCCUAUAUUUAUAGGCAUCAGACGUGAGUUAAGGGCCAUAGCUACCUGUAAAUGCUGUUGGCCCAUAAUCCCGCAAAACUCGCCCACUAAGCGUAACCGUUGCUAACGUGCCUAUGAUAUUCGCCUUACUAAUCCAAUAACCCUGUUACACUAUGUCCGCACCUCUUCUUUACUCAACCGGCCGGCCUACCAGCCUUCCCGAUCAACUCCCAAGCCUUCCCGAUCAACUCUCAAGCCUUCCUGAUCAACUCUCAAACCUUCUCGAUCAACUCCCAAACCUUCCUGAUCAACUCCCAUUGUUCCUCUUACCAACUUAUCAUCUUUUUUAUUCAUCUUCACCUGACCGACCACCCCCUUACACUACAUAAGCCCCCCAAGCCCCGAGCGUUGAUAUAAACGAAGGGGUUUAAUCGCUUCCCAACGAGGGUGGUGUAACAAACACUUUACUACUUAUCAUGUCGUUUUCCUAUAUAUGCAACCUUGAGUGUGCAAAUGUUUGGCGUCAUUUUAUGACUUCACCCGAACGUCACGCGUCUAUGAACAACACGCGACUUCACCCUAAACGACACUCCUCCCGAUCAACCUAACAGGAGUCAUUUUCCUGACUUCCUAUAAAGGGUGGGGUAUUCGAAGUCAUUUUCCUGACUUCAUUUUUCCUCCCUCGUUCCACCGAUAAGGAGUCAAUUUUCUUACUUCCUGAGAUUCUUCGAAGUCAAUUUUUUGACUUCCUUCUUUCUCCCUUUCGUUCCACCCGAUCAGGCAUCAAUUUUCUGACAUCUUGAGUCUUUGAAGUCAUUUUCUUGACUUCCUUCUUCCUCCCUUCAUGCCACCCGAUCAGCAGACAAUUUUCUGAUAUCCUGAGAUUCUUCGAAGUCAAUUUUCUGACUUCAUUUCUCCUCCCUUCGUUCCACCCGAUCAGGAGUCAAUUUUCUGACUUCCUGAGAUUCUUCAAAGUCAAUUUUCUGACUUCAUUUCUCCUCCCUUC
rnacentral:lncRNA from 1 species